UGUGUGUGUGUGUGUGUGUGUGUGUACACACACACACACACACACACACGAACACACACACA
rnacentral:miRNA from 1 species